AACGAACGCUGGCGGCAUGCCUAAUACAUGCAAGUCGAACGAGAUCUUCGGAUCUAGUGGCGCACGGGUGCGUAACGCGUGGGAAUCUACCCUUGGGUUCGGAAUAACUUCGGGAAACUGAAGCUAAUACCGGAUGAUGACGUAAGUCCAAAGAUUUAUCGCCCAGGGAUGAGCCCGCGUAGGAUUAGCUAGUUGGUGGGGUAAAGGCAUACCAAGGCGACGAUCCUUAGCUGGUCUGAGAGGAUGAUCAGCCACACUGGGACUGAGACACGGCCCAGACUCCUACGGGAGGCAGCAGUAGGGAAUAUUGGACAAUGGGCGCAAGCCUGAUCCAGCAAUGCCGCGUGAGUGAUGAAGGCCUUAGGGUUGUAAAGCUCUUUUACCCGAGAUGAUAAUGACAGUAUCGGGAGAAUAAGCCCCGGCUAACUCCGUGCCAGCCGCCGCAGUAACAC
rnacentral:rRNA from 1 species